rnacentral:rRNA from 1 species
AUUGAACGCUGGCGGCAGGCCUAACACAUGCAAGUCGAGCGGAUGAAGGGAGCUUGCUCCUGGAUUCAGCGGCGGACGGGUGAGUAAUUCCUAGGAAUCUGCCUUGUAGUGGGGGAUAACGUCCGGAAACGGGCGCUAAUACCGCAUACGUCCUGAGGUCGAAAGUGGGGGAUCUUCGAACCUCACGCUAUCAGAUGAGCCUAGGUCGGAUUAGCUAGUUGGUGGGGUAAAGGCCUACCAAGGCGACGAUCCGUAACUGGUCUGAGAGGAUGAUCAGUCACACUGGAACUGAGACACGGUCCAGACUCCUACGGGAGGCAGCAGUGGGGAAUAUUGGACAAUGGGCGAAAGCCUGAUCCAGCCAUGCCGCGUGUGUGAAGAAGGUCUUCGGAUUGUAAAGCACUUUAAGUUGGGAGGAAGGGCAGUAAGUUAAUACCUUGCUGUUUUGACGGUACCAAAAGAAUAAGCACCGGCUAACUUCGUG